rnacentral:rRNA from 1 species
CCUACGGGUGGCAGCAGUGGGGAAUAUUGCACAAUGGGGGAAACCCUGAUGCAGCGACGCCGCGUGAGUGAAGAAGUAUUUCGGUAUGUAAAGCUCUAUCAGCAGGGAAGAAAAUGACGGUACCUGACUAAGAAGCCCCGGCUAACUACGUGCCAGCAGCCGCGGUAAUACGUCGGGGGUAAGCGUUAUCCGGAUUUACUGGGGGUAAAGGGAGCGUAGACGGCAGAGCAAGUCUGAAGUGAAAGCCCGCGGCGCAACGGCGGGACUGCUUUGGAAACUGCCCGGCUAGAGUGCUGGAGAGGGAAGCGGAAUUCCUGGUGUAGCGGUGAAAUGCGUAGAGAUUAGGAGGAACACCAGUGGCGAAGGCGGCUUACUGGACAGUAACUGGCGUUGAGGCUCGAAAGCGUGGGGAACAAACAGGAUUAGAUACCCGAGUAGUC